GAGCUCCUGCAUUGUUUCUUACACAAGAGGAAAAAGUUGUGCAGAUAUUUGCAAGCUGUACUGUAGCAUUGAACAUCCAGGGACCUGGUCCCUUUUCAUCAUCUGCUCAUCAUCAAACUAAGAUACAAAAGUUUUCCCCCUUUUUAAUGAUGACAAACCAUCCAUAGAAUUUUGAGCAUCAAUACACAUUCAUCAUAUUUAAUCUGUGUGAUUACCACUACUGAAAAUGAAUGUUCACCCUAUUAUGAAACACCAACCAUGCUUCCAUCAACAUGCAACUUAGGGACCUAGUCCCUUGUUGUUA
rnacentral:lncRNA from 1 species